rnacentral:lncRNA from 1 species
AAACUUUGAAAUCCAGUGGUUAUUGUUAUUCAUAUUAAACAUGAUUUUGUUCUGCUUCACAGCUUAUUAAUCAAUAAUAACUAGAGACAAGUACAACGUAGGUACAAUAAAAGAACAACCAUAUGAAAAAAUUGUCUAGUGCUGGGAUUGAGCUUGGCAAUGAAUUUCGGAUUCUGAAACGCGCUUCUUGUAUUGAGCAAUGUAAGCUGUGGCUCUCAUGUCAAUGACAGGAUCAGCCACCCCCCAACGACCUUUGUCCUCGUCACUAGGCCAUAUUUUGGUUCCUGACACCUUUGGCCCUUCAUCAUAAAAAGUGUUGUAAUUGCUUCCUCCUCUUUGCUUGUUGUUGGAUUUGAAAAUGUUGAAAACUGAGAAAAAAGAAGAUUUCCUUUGCCUGUUUUUGCCACCCAUGGUUAUGAUUGUUGAUUUCUUGGCUAUGAAAGACUAUAGUGUCACUUUUAGUGACUAGAUAUAGGAACUUGUAGUAUUUGUGGUGUUGGGUUAGAACUUCGAGGCUAUGGGCCUCUCAAUUUAUAGUACAAGUUAGGCCACUUCUUUUAACUGAGAUUAAGGGUGGAGAAUCUGAUUC